UUAAAAAAGCACCUCCAGAACCUUGCACUCCACACAGUCCGACUAGAGAAGAAAUACUACGAGAUAGUCCAGGAAGGGUCACAAGAAGGUAAGACACAUUGGCACACUUACCAUACACCAAUUAUUUCCAUACAUCUAAUUGUUGUAUAAAAUUUAUUUGCAGCAAGCUUGUGAUGUUAUUGGCAGAGGGCACAUCUUCACAAAUUCAUGAUGACACCACUAGUCCUGUGGAGACGACUACCGCUACAGCACCACCAAAGAAGAUGACUCCCAAGAGAAAGCUAGCGAUUGUAUGAAUUUUUUAAAUUGUGUGUGCUGAAAUGAAAACUCAAGAUUUUUAAAACUGUGUGUGAUGAACUUGUAUUGCUACUUCAUCAGUCAAAAAAAAACUUGUAUUGCUACAAACAUGGUUAUAUGAUAUCAACUCGUUCGUGCUAAAAUCAUUGCUUGUAUUUGUUGAAACUG
rnacentral:lncRNA from 1 species